CCCACUCAGGGCCUUUCUUUUCUUACAAAGACUGCUGUGUUGGAUCUGUUUUUCUAAGUCAGAUAGUUAUUUGAUUUCCACCUCAGAACUCAGUGCCAGCAUUCAGUGUUGCCAGCCUCACCGCCACCGGCCAUGGUGCGAGAAGGAAUUCGGGUUCCUGGAACAUGGUCAGAGAAUGCACUCCUUGAUUCAGUCUCCACCUGUGCUGCUCACUCCACGAACAAGGAUGGUGGCAGGAGUUGUGGUGCAGUGGCUCACACCUAUAAUCCCAGCACUUUGAGAGG
rnacentral:lncRNA from 1 species